rnacentral:rRNA from 1 species
AUUGAACGCUGGCGGCAUGCCUUACACAUGCAAGUCGAACGGCAGCACGGGGGCAACCCUGGUGGCGAGUGGCGAACGGGUGAGUAAUGCAUCGGAAUGUGCCCAGUAGUGGGGGAUAACGUAGCGAAAGCUACGCUAAUACCGCAUACGACCUACGGGUGAAAGCGGGGGACCGACAGGCCUCGCGCUAUUGGAGCAGCCGAUGUCUGAUUAGCUAGUUGGUGGGGUAAAGGCCUACCAAGGCGACGAUCAGUAGCUGGUCUGAGAGGACGAUCAGCCACACUGGGGACUGAGACACGGCCCCAGACUCCUACGGGAGGCAGCAGUGGGGAAUUUUGGACAAUGGGCGAAAGCCUGAUCCAGCAAUGCCGCGUGUGUGGAGAA